ACUCUACAUAUAAUAUCAGAAGAUAUCACCAGACCCACCUAUUCUUCGUUUGAGCCCUUUCUAAACAGUAAUAUCCCCCAAAUCCUUUUUUUCAUUUAAUCAAAAAUUAUAAUUUUUCUACAGAGACCAAAACUAGAGAAUUUACCGUCGGCCAUUCCACAGAUUGUCACCACACCGGAGCCUGUUGUGGUCACUGAUUUUGACAUCAAAUCAGAGUCUGGGUGAAACGAAUCUCAAGAAGAAGGAGAGGAGAUCGAUGGACCACCCUCCCGCCGAAAAUAGUUCGAUAUUGUGUAAGUCCCACACACGCUAGAGAGCUGGAUGAAAAAUGCAAGGUUGAAGUGAUUUCGAUGGUAGUUGAUGCAACACAUUCUCAGAAGAGCUGACGUGAGAAGACAAGGUUGAUGAGGAACAUGUUGGCAACCUUGUACGACUAAUCGAGCAAGGUCAUGUGUUCAACAAGUCUAUGUACGCUAUAUUUAGAUUUGCUGUGGAUUUUUUUUUUUUGAUUUUCCAGUGUACCUUACACAAUAACCUAACAAAACGGCUAUUGAAGA